rnacentral:lncRNA from 1 species
UUUGUCACAAUGUGACAGUAUCUUUCCACUUUCCCCCUACUCCUGAAUGUCUAAAGAACUCUCAAUGCAUAUUAGCCAUCACCAUGGUUGAGACCCAGACCUCUGCAGAGACAAUCUUGAUCCUCUGGCUCCUGCUUCACAUUGCCCAUUCACCCUCAGCACUGAAAUCCUUACCUCAAGCGCUGGGAAUUCAGGCCAUGGAAGAUUAGGAGGCUCACAGCAGUGGAAUGCUGCUCCAAGAAGAAUUCUGAUUACAUUUUUCCAUGUCGUUGUUAUGGAAGCUGUAUCUAUAUAAAGUGGGAAGAUGCCAAUAAGGGUCCUUGCUCCUUGAGUGUAAGCUCCCCUAUCUUUAAUCUCUCUGUUGGUCUAGAAGGGAGCAAGUUAUCCUUCAAGAUUCAGGACGAUUCUGAACUCCCCGAGAGCGGCAACCCAUAUCUUAACUCUCUUUGCAUCAACAGAGCCCAAUACAAUGCCUGGCACAGUUGACUGCUUCUAUGCUGGACAGUGAGCCCAAGAAAAGGGUGGUCUCAUGGCAGAGAUAAAAGAGUCCCCAGGGAAUACUGAUAGCCUUUUUCCAAUAAAGCGAAAUCUAUUUGCAAUAAUAGUGAUCAGUCAGAUUUUACUGUAAGAAGGAAGAAAACAAGGAUCCUGCUAGAACAACAUGGAAACAGGCUGAUCUUAGGACCUACAACAAAGAGAUUUCUCACUGGCUUCCUGGUGGUUCAUUCAAUAGGGAAUUCCUGCAGCAAGUUGGAGGGAGGGAGGAGAAGCAGGGAGGCCACCUCCUGUCAAAGCUGGGACAUCUGAGAGACAGUGGUCACACAACAACUCAACUGCAUGUGCACCUAAAACAGUAGCUUAUUUUCUCUGACUGUUUCUUCUUCUUCUUCUUCUACUCCUUAUUCUUAUUCUUCUUUCUGAUUUACCAACCUACUGGGUAUCAGUGCAAAAAAUUAUUUUACUUGCGAAUUAAUGAUAUCACCACGUUUUCUUGCUUAAACUGUCUUUUUAGGUUAGCUGCACUGAUUCCAUGAACAGAGAUUCAUGCCACUGUGUAGUCUGCAACAAAGCAUUGAAGAUGGUUUCCAAUAUCCAGAUGGACAGGCUGACCAUGAGUGCAAAUCUUCUUGUCCUUAGGAAAAAAAACUUCAAAGGGUAGACAACAGCCAAAUACCGAUCAACGGCAAUGCAGGAAAGACACACACAGAGAUCCAAUAUUGG